GUGCCUACGGGUGGCUGCAGUGGGGAAUUUUGGACAAUGGGGGCAACCCUGAUCCAGCCAUUCCGCGUGAGUGAAGAAGGCCUUAGGGUUGUAAAGCUCUUUCAGUGGGGAAGAUAAUGACGGUACCCACAGAAGAAGCCCCGGCUAACUUCGUGCCAGCAGCCGCGGUAAUACGAAGGGGGCUAGCGUUGUUCGGAUUUACUGGGCGUAAAGCGCACGUAGGCGGAUCGUUAAGUCGGGGGUGAAAUCCUGGAGCUCAACUCCAGAACUGCCUUCGAUACUGGCGAUCUUGAGUCCGGAAGAGGUGAGUGGAACUCCUAGUGUAGAGGUGGAAUUCGUAGAUAUUAGGAAGAACACCAGUGGCGAAGGCGGCUCACUGGUCCGGUACUGACGCUGAGGUGCGAAAGCGUGGGGAGCAAACAGGAUUAGAUACCCCAGUAGUC
rnacentral:rRNA from 1 species